CAGCCGCCGCGGGAAAACGGAGGGUGCAAGCGUUAAUCGGAAUUACUGGGCGUAAAGCGCACGCAGGCGGUCUGUCAAGUCAGAUGUGAAAUCCCCGGGCUUAACCUGGGAACUGCAUUUGAAACUGUCAGGCUGGAGUCUUGUAGAGGGGGGUAGAAUUCCAGGUGUAGCGGUGAAAUGCGUAGAGAUCUGGAGGAAUACCGGUGGCGAAGGCGGCCCCCUGGACAAAGACUGACGCUCAGGUGCGAAAGCGUGGGGAGCAAACAGGAUUAGAGACCCCUGUAGUCCCUGUCUCUUAUAC
rnacentral:rRNA from 1 species